AACGAACGCUGGCGGCGUGCCUAACACAUGCAAGUCGUGCGAGAAAAGGGGGGCAACUCCCUGAGUACAGCGGCGCACGGGUGAGUAACACGUAGGUAACCUACCCUCGAGCCCGGGAUAACCUACCGAAAGGUGGGCUAAUACCGGUUGUGACCACGGGAGUCUCGGCUCCGGAGGUAAAAGAUGGCCCCUGCUUGCAAGCUACCACUCGUGGAGGGGCCGGGGCGCCAUUGGCUAGUUGGCGGGGUAAUGGCCCACCAAGGCUCUGAUGGCUAGCUGGUCUGAGAGGAUGGCCAGCCACACUGGGACUGAAACACGGCCCAGACUCCUACGGGAGGCAGCAGUGGGGGAUAUUGCGCAAUGGGCGAAAGCCUGACGCAGCGACGCCGCGUGGGUGAUGAAGGCCUUCGGGUCGUAAAGCCCUGUCGAGGGGGACGAACCGGCCGCGACCGAAUACGUCGCGACCCUGACGGUACCCCUAAAGGAAGCACCGGCUAACUCCGUGCCAGCCGCCGCGGUAA
rnacentral:rRNA from 1 species